GACGAACGCUGGCGGCGUGCUUAACACAUGCAAGUCGAGCGGUAAGGCCCUUUCGGGGGUACACGAGCGGCGAACGGGUGAGUAACACGUGGGUGACCUGCCCUCAGCUCUGGGAUAAGCCUGGGAAACCGGGUCUAAUACUGGAUAUGACUCCAUGACGCAUGUUGUGGGGUGGAAAGCCUUGUGCGGCUGAGGAUGGGCCCGCGGCCUAUCGGCUUGUUGGUGGGGUGAUGGCCUACCAAGGCGACGACGGGUAGCCGGCCUGAGAGGGCGACCGGCCACACUGGGACUGAGACACGGCCCAGACUCC
rnacentral:rRNA from 1 species